GCGAGGGUUGCCCGUAACACGGCUCUCCUCGAAUUUCCAGGCUCUACGUCUUUUUACACACCCCAAUAGUAUGAUGCAGAAUGUAGUCAAUGGGCUUCUCAGCCUAUAAAACACUAUACAACUUUCAGCAACGGAUCUCUUGGCUCUCGCAUCGAUGAAGAACGCAGCGAAAUGCGAUAAGUAAUGUGAAUUGCAGAAUUCAGUGAAUCAUCGAAUCUUUGAACGCACCUUGCGCUCCUUGGUAUUCCGAGGAGCAUGCCUGUUUGAGUGUCAUUAAAUUCUCAACCUCACCAGUUUUCUGAACUGUUCUUCGAGGCUUGGAUGUGGGGGUUUGUGCAGGCUGCCUCACGGCGGUCUGCUCCCCUGAAAUGCAUUAGCGAGUUCAUACUGAACUUCCGUCUAUUGGUGUGAUAAUUAUCUACGCCGUGGACGAGGAUCAGACUCGCUUCUAACCGUCCGCGAGGACAAUACCUUGACAAUUUGACCUCAAAUCAGGUAGGACUACCCGCUGAACUUAAGCAUAUCAAUAAGCGGAGGAA
rnacentral:rRNA from 1 species